GUGAAAUCACUCGACAGUGUUCUCACGAUGAUCGUAAAAGUUGUCGCGAUACCCGAAGUGAACACUUACUUAAAGCAAGGCUAUCCUUUACCAUCUAUUGGAAAAAUGAAUCUGCUCAACACUCAGCUUCAAGUCCUGAAGGAUAACGUGUUGAUCGGAACAGACGUCCAGUUCAGCGCAUGAGCUUGACCUGAUGUCUACUAACAGUGGAUUCCAUUUGCAAACUUGGAUUUCCUUAUUUUCUAUAUAACAAUACAGAACCUUUGUAGGAGUUGAUGUAUAAAUAAAUAAACGUGAUUUUUUUUU